AAACUCCAAAUGAUACGAUGUUCGAUAAAUCAGUUAUGGUCUUUUAAAUAUCAAGCGAGAUUAUUUUCAUAAUUAGUUAUGCUUUUAGAAGUUCGGAAUUAUAUGAUACUCACAAUUCAAUUAUGAUUUUUCAAACUCCAUAUAAAAUUAUGGUACAAAAGGCAAAAUUAAAAAAAAAAUUGAACAAAAUUAAUAAAUCUUGUAACAACAAAUGCAACAAAUCAAUCCUCCAUCAUACCUAUG
rnacentral:lncRNA from 1 species